rnacentral:rRNA from 1 species
AUGUUGGAAGAGGUAGAGGAGGAAGGCCCCUUGCCUCCUGAGCUUUAUGGCAGAAAGGUUGAUGUGUGUGUUGAACUUUAUGAGCUGCUAGCCACGGAAGAGAUUUACUGGCUUCAACAGUCCCAUGAACGUUGUCUCUUGAGAGGAGACCGCAAUACGGACUACUUCCAUAAAAUAGUUAAUGGCCGUAAACAAAAAAACACCAUUCACGCCCUCAAAUGUGGGGACGUGGAGAUUGAAGGCAUGGACAAUCUAAUAGCACAUGCCACGAGCUUCUACAAAGAGUUGUUUCGCCCGGCCCCUGGCAAUAUAUUUCAUCUUGAUCCUUAUACCUGGGUAGACAACGAAAAGCUGUCAGCGGAGAAUAAUGACGAUCCUAUUAGGGAAUUUUCUGAAGAGGAGGUCAAAGCUGCUCUGUUUCACAUGGAAGUCAACAGGGCCCCAGGGCCUGAUAACAUCCCUGCUGAAUUUUAUCAGUGCUGUUGGGAUAUAGUUAAAAAUGAUAUUAUGCGCAUCUUUGAUAGCUUCUGA